GUUGCUGAGGAGCCCUGGUUCAGGUUGUGUCUCUUUGCUCAGCUCCCUGCUGGCCCUGGAGGAGUCAGAGUGCUCUGUGAUGGAAGAAGAGGAGUCGAGACUGCUGGAGACAUCUGGGCUCAGUGGCUCCGUGUCAGUGAUGCACUGCAUCAGCUCUUCCAUUUGGCAGCUGUUUGCAGUGUCUUUGGUCCCCUCUCUUGUGACACCGGGCAGGUCCUGGUUGUGCUGGGGGACCUCCAGAGCACUCGCUGCUUCUGAAAAAGCAUGAACAUCCCCCCAAACGAUGAUGGCAGUCUUCCCACACCCGCUCGGUGCAGGCACCCACCCGUCACCUCUGCGGACCACAGUCUCACCGUCAAUCCAGGAUAAGCAAAGCCAAGAAGAAGUCAGAAGGCCUGACCCAGAACAUGGUGGACAGGUUCAUCCAGAACACGCUGAGCCGCCCGGACAGUUGGUGCAGGAAGAACGCAGCAGUAUCAGCGCACUCCAUCCCGGGGAUCUGAAUGCAUUGGUGGAGAGAACAGGGAAAUAAGAGGUAAGAGAGAGAAAAAAACAAAGCAGGCAAAUAGCACAGCUGUCCCCAGGGGGCGGGGCUUAAGGCAGGGCCUGUGCCGGAGGGUGGCCCAGCACAGUCGGGGCCUCGGGGCCCAGUCUGGAGGGGGCCUGGCACAGCUGAGGCCUCCUCUGGGUCCAGACCAAAGGGGGCCCAGGCUGGAGGAGAACCAGGCUCAGUUGGGGCUGCUUUGGGGCCCAGGCUGGAGGAGGACCAGGCUCAGUUGGGGCUGCUUUGAGGCCCAGUCCGGAGGGGGGCCUGGCACAGUUGGGGCUGCUUUGGGGCCCAGGCUGGAGGAGGACCAGGCUCAGCUGGGGCUGCUUUGGGGCCUAGUCCGGAGGGAGGCCCGGUACAGCCAGAGCCUUGUGGCAGCAGUCCAACUCUCAAGUUCAACCUUUAACCAUAACCUAAAAUGGUAACCGUAGUGAAAGGUAGUGGCAGAUGGAGCUGCUUUACUGUGUUUUAAUUUUCCCAAGAAUGGUGAAGGACUCAAGCUAGUAAAGAAAGACCCCUUUCUGAAGAGCAGGACUCAGAAGGUAUUACCAGAGAGCAGAUCUCCCAGUAGAG
rnacentral:lncRNA from 1 species